AUGCUGCCCUGAAAAAACAGUAGUUUCAUAGGUGUGCAAACGGGUGCACACUCUAAUGUAUGCGGCCGGGUACGCUCAGGUAUCGCCGCGCCCGCCGCACACUUGAUACCUGUCCCGGUCAGAGCCGACAUCAAAGGGUGACGUCGUCCCGCCCUGACAGAUAAGAGGACCCGCCGAUGUGCACAGUGACAGGACCACCCCAGCCUGCGCGUGACGAUCACCUUCCUCCCCGGAUCGCACACAGCGCAGCUGAAGCAGAUCAUUCAAAGCAGCGUAUAGGGAGAGAGGGCGCUUUUCUCCUACCCUACCUUCCCAGCAGCCCGUGCUGUUGUAUCACUGCACUGAGCUGAGCGCACUGCGGGCAGCGGUCGGUCACUAUGGGGAGAGCUGCCCUCCCUCCCCGUCAUCAGAUGCUCUAGUUCCCUCCUGCAUUCAGCCUCCCGCUAGGAGGGUAGGCAAGCCUGGGUAAAAGUUUUUUCCCUGAGCCUCCUGCAAGUCCAGGAAAGCCGGAGGGCAGGGUGUGCAAGGGAGACGUCACACUGCCAUAAGAGUCCUGCAGGGCAGUCUGAGCAGAGGCUCUUCACUUGUCGGCAUCACGACAGCUGCUGCAGAACAGCAGUGUGGAGGCCCUUCAGUGCAGACUUCCCUGGCCUGAUCUCCUUCCCCCAGGAUUAUUCUUUUUUUCCUGGUUACAGCAGCAGCACCAUCCAGAAGCUAAGGCUCCGCCCCCUUCCGAAACUCCGCCCCUCCCACGGCCCGCGAUUUCCAAUUCCUCCCCUCCAUCGCCAGCUAUGUGGAUCCAGCACAGAGCUCCUGCAGUAUAACCACAGAAAGAACACCUGCAAGUUUCAAUACAUAAGGAAGUGGUCACAGGAGCUGAUGCAGAAUAAAUGACUCUAAAAAAAGCAUCAGAAGGAAGAGAUGCUGGCGGCAAACUAUGGAUCUGUGAUCCCUACAACAAAAUACUUUUCUACGCACAUGUGCUUCUAAUGCAAAAUUGCUGAACAACCAAAUGGAAAAGAUAAGAUCACAUCCUGGCUUGUCCUGUGUCAUGGGAAGAAUGAACGUGUGGAACGGACCUGAGGCUGUCCGUGUCAAGAUGCUUGAUACGACCAGUAAAAUUAUUAUAUCAUUCUGUUUUACGGUGCUCAUCAAUAGCUCAUAACUACAUAAAACAUUGUUAUUUGGCAUUCUCUGGGACUAGGAUUCCUUUCUGCAUAGGGGAAGGAGUAACGACAUGGUUAUCAGCAGAACGAUCUGACUUUAGUGUAGCGUGGAUGACAAACAGAUGGAGCAGGCUUUCUAUACUGCAACAUUUAUCUCAUGAGGCUCCUCUGCUAGAUACAUUUCUUUAUUAUAAUAACGUUUUACAAGACAGUGAAAGAGUAUAACUUUCAAAUGUUGCAGAAAGUCUACACAAAAUGUGCACUGAAGUCUGCUCCAUCUGUAAUUGCUCAUUGGCUGUGGACAGGGUGGCUCAGUGUAGGGAGUCAUUAUUUGGAAGCAGAUAGAUGCAGACGUGCAGUGAAUAUAAUUAUACGGACAAAUGCACCAAUUCUUCUGGCAGGGAUAAGCAUAGUAGCACUCUACCAUUCCGCUAUGUGAUGAUGGUCUGCACAGAUCCUCUGCAUGAGAUUUGCAGGUUUGUGGUCUGUGACAGAAGUGCUCCUGUUUUACUCUUUUUUAAUAUAACAAAAUGAGAUAAUGUUACAAAAUACCAAAUGAAGCUGAGCUGCAAGUUUAAUUUUUUUUAAUAUAAUAUAAACAGUUUUAUUUGUUAGAUGCAUAGACCUUUUCACUGGGGUUUUUACCUCUAUUACACAAACCCAUAAGCCGGCUUGCUAUAAAAUACAAGCAAUGACCAUCAGCAGAAGCGUGUAUGGCCAGCUCUCCUUUACCAUAGCGAUUUGACUGCGUAUAUUUCCUCCUACCGCUACAUUUAUUGCUUAAAACCACUUAACUGAUGAUUUUUCCCUUCAAAAGCAUUAACAACAUUGUUUUUUAAAAUUUAUUUUAUUUAAUAAAGUUGAAAAAGUACUUUUUUAAA